CCUACGGGAGGCAGCAGUGAGGAAUAUUGGUCAAUGGACGAGAGUCUGAACCAGCCAAGUAGCGUGAAGGAUGACUGCCCUAUGGGUUGUAAACUUCUUUUAUAUGGGAAUAAAAUGUUCCACGUGUGGGAUUUUGUAUGUACCAUAUGAAUAAGGAUCGGCUAACUCCGUGCCAGCAGCCGCGGUAAUACGGGGGAUCCGAGCGUUAUCCGGAUUUUUUGGGUUUAAAGGGAGCGUAGGUGGAUUGUUAGGUCAGUUGUGAAAGUUUGCGGCUCAACCGUAAAAUUGCAGUUGAAACUGGUAGUCUUGAGUACAGUAGAGGUGGGCGGAAUUCGUGGUGUAGCGGUGAAAUGCUUAGAUAUCACGAAGAACUCCGAUUGCGAAGGCAGCUCACUGGACUGCAACUGACACUGAGGCUCGAAAGUGUGGGUAUCAAACAGGAUUAGAUACCCUGGUAGUC
rnacentral:rRNA from 1 species